rnacentral:tRNA from 1 species
GCGGACGUGGCGGAAUGGGUAGACGCGCUAGAUUUAGGUUCUAGUACCCUCAGGGUGUGAGAGUUCGAAUCUCUCCGUCCGCA